ensembl:snRNA Gm24116 predicted gene, 24116
UUGCUUGCUUUGGCAGUCCAUGAACUGAAAUUGAAAUGAUACAGAGGAGAUUAGCAUGGCCCCUGCACAAGAAUGACAGGAAAAUUCACCAAGUUUUUCAUAUUUAA